AGGGUUUGAUUCUGGCUCAGGAUGAACGCUGGCGGCGUGCCUAACACAUGCAAGUCGAACGGAGUUAUUUUGGAAAUCUCUUCGGAGAUGGAAUUCAUAACUUAGUGGCGGACGGGUGAGUAACGCGUGAGCAAUCUGCCCUUAGGUGGGGGAUAACAGCCGGAAACGGCUGCUAAUACCGCAUAACACAUUGAAGCCGCAUGGUUUUGAUGUCAAAGAUUUAUUGCCUUUGGAUGAGCUCGCGUCUGAUUAGCUGGUUGGCGGGGUAACGGCCCACCAAGGCGACGAUCAGUAGCCGGACUGAGAGGUUGAACGGCCACAUUGGGACUGAGACACGGCCCAG
rnacentral:rRNA from 1 species